GGGUUUGGGUUUAGAGUUUACGGUUUGGGUUUAGGGUCUAGGAUUUGGGUUUACAGUUUGGGUUUAGGGUUUAGGAUUUGGGUUUAUAGUAUAGGGUUUGGGUUUAGGGUUUACUAUUUGGGUUUAGGGUAUAGGGUUUGAGUUUGGUAUUUAGGGGUUAGAUUUAGAUUUAUGGUUUAGAAUUUAGGAUUUAGGGUUUUGUUAGGCAUCAUUCUUUUUUCAACUAUUUUAAUAUUUUAAAAAUAAAAUUUAAUAUUUUUUAAUAAUUAUUUAGGUGACACUUUGAGAGGAUGUAAAAGAGAUGGUGAAUUUAAAGGUACUAUAUGGAUGAACCUAAGUUUUGUCCGUAAAUUAAUUUGUUGUUAUAUUUCAACGAAGAUGGGUCCCCAAACACCACCAGCGCACGAGACAGCUUUACUCCACUUAUUUUUUCUGUAGGAAAGAAAAAUCUACUUGAGAAAAUAAUUUACGCAUUAUCUUUUAUUAUCACCAACAUCAUCAUCAAAAAAUGUAUUAAAUUUUUAUUUUAUUUAUUAGAUCACAUUCCUUAGGAUUCUGUUCUGUAAAAGUCACAUGAUCCAACUUUCACUUUGAUCUUUUGCUUCCUCUGUUGGCAAUCAUUAUCAUCGUCAUGACCUGUUUUUUUCUUUUUCUGCCUUCAUAUUUAUUU
rnacentral:lncRNA from 1 species